UUGCCAAUAUUGGCCCAAUAUUAUUUUGUUUUCAUUACUCAAAUAUUGGCCAAUAUUGACAUUUUUACAUAUUGGUACGCAUGCGUAACUUUAUCGCUUGUUCAUAAAGAAGCACUGUGAACAUCAAAGGACAAAACUAUAGUUUUGUCCUUUGAUGUUCACAGUACUUCUAAUAAAACAUUUACAGAUUGAAUCACGAGAAGAAGUGGUUGUAAUUUAUUUAAAAACAGAUUGUAUCACGAGAAGAAGUGGUAAAAGUGAAGAAAUCCUUUUAAUUGAAAAUUUAGAGAUUGUAUCACGAGAAGAAGUGGUUGUAAUUUAUUUAAAACAGAUUGAAUCAUGAGAAGAAGUGGUUGUAGUUCAUUUAGAAACAGAUUGUAUCACGAGAAAAAGUGGAAAAAUAUUUCUGCACUAUAAGACAAAGGUUGAAAUAGUAAUGAAAAAAUCAAUAACUUCAACUCGAUCUGCUUAAUCACAUUAUAUUAAAAGACAGUUAUAAAACUGCUGUAGAACGAAUGGAAACAUUAGAGUUCACAUCAAGCGUUGAAACAGCUGCUGAUAGUGAUGAAAAAUUGUCCAUGCCACCAGCUAAAAAGUUAGCAGUUUGCAAAACAAGUGACACUGAGGAGACAUAUCCAUCAGUUUCCCCAAGAUUGAAGAAAUCUUUUAAUUGCCAAAAUAUUUUAAAAUCCACAACUGUUCGAGAUAUUGAGCUAUUUAGUUCGAAUCGUUCUCUACCGAUAUUUUCCUCUUCUGAUCAUACCUGGCAACUGUUUUGGCUGCUUUAGGCACCCGAUUUGCUGGUAAAGAAUUACAUUGAUGGGUUAUUUGUUUGAAUGUUUAAUUAAAUCAUUUGAGAAGAAAAGUUUAGAGCUGCUUGUCAGUAUUCAAUACGAUUUGAAAAAGUUAAACACUCGCCUAAUUAAUUUAGAAAAAGGUUUAGUGUUUCUUUCUGUUAGCAAUCAGAGCAUAGCUGGACCAUCCCCAUCAGUUAAAUGGAAUUAUUUGCCUGUUAAAGAGGAAAAAGAUUUUCUAGACCUGGAUGAAAAAUUACGAAACACCUAUGAUGAACUUCCUUGCAUCGGUUGGAGGCGACGAUUACAAGCAACUUACCACGGCUAUCUUAAAACAACUAAUGGCUAAAAAAGUAUGCUUAUUAUACUCUAUGUAUGGCAAUAAACAAAAGAAAUUAUUUUCGUCUCUUACGUCCUGCAAGGUGGUUAUCGAUGCCAUAAAAAAAAAGUUUGAAAACGCUAAUGACAAAAGCAUUAAAGAAAGAAAGAAUCGGCAGCUUUCUGGCAACGGCCAUUGAUAGAGAAGGCAGAAGAAAGAAUAGAACCGCAAUUAAGCAAAGCCCACUAUUGAGGGAUAGUGAGAGUGUAAUGCUGUAAUA
rnacentral:lncRNA from 1 species